rnacentral:rRNA from 1 species
AUGGCCACAAAGCUUGUGGUUUUUGGGCUCCCCUGGGAUGUGGACAGCGAAGGAUUACGAAAGCAUAUGGCCAAGUUUGGACCCCUGGAAGAUUGUAUUGUCAUGAAGGAUCGCUUUUCCGGUCGAUCUCGUGGGUUUGGCUACAUAACGUUCUCAUCGGCUGAUGACGUCAAGAAUGUUCUUGAGUGUGAACAUUUUCUUGGGAACCGACCUCUAGAAGUGAAGAUAGCAAUUCCCAGGGAAGAACUGAAAGCACAGCCACCGGGAACAAAAACAGCUACUAGGAUAUUUGUUGGUCGAAUUCCGCAAUCUGCAGAUGAGUCAAUGUUCCGUAGGCAUUUUGAAGCAUUUGGAGAAAUUAUCGAUCUUUACAUGCCAAAGGAACAUGGUUCAAAAGGUCAUCGUGGAAUUGGGUUUAUCACUUUUCAGAGAGCAGAAUCUGUAGACAGUAUCAUGCAAGAGUCGCAUGAGUUGGAUGGAACAACUCUACAUGUUGACCGUGCAACUCCAAAGCAUCAGGAUGAAGAUAUCAGACACCCUCCAAGCAGGACAUCUCAGGAUGGGGGCGACUAUGGCCUUGGCUAUGGUGCAUAUGAUGUAUACAUUGCAGCUGCAACCAUGUUUGGAGCUUUGGGCCCACCAACACGGUAUGAUCAUCCAGGAUCAGCUUAUGGAAGAGGAUACUCUGGAUCCCCUCCAGAAACGGGCAAAAAGAUAUUUGUUGGCGGGAUUCCACAAGAAGCAAACAAAGAUGACCUAAGGAAUUACUUUGGCGGAUUUGGCCGGGUCGCAAAUGUGUUUAUUCCAAGGGAUCCUAAAGGAAGUGGCCAUCGAACUUUUGGUUUUGUCACCUUUUCUGAUGAGGGUGUGGCAGAUAAGGUAGCUGACAAAAGCCAUGAAAUUCUUGGAUGUAAGGUCACAGUAGACAUAGCUGCACCGCCUAGGGGUGAUUCCAGUGGUCGUUUCGCUGACCCCAUGCCCGGCGUGGACCUUCAUGCACCACCUUACGGCUCAAUGCGGCCUUUCGGCAUGUUCUGCGGCAACCUGGGUUAUGACCGAGGCUAUGGUCCCGGCGGAGGCGGCAGCAGAUCGAGAACGGAUGGGCGGCAUCGACCUUACUGA